UCGCACCUACCGAUUGAAUGUUCCGGUGAGACCUUUGGAUUCUGUAUUAGAACUUUUAUUAGAACUUUUACGGAAGAAAUUGAGCAAACCUUAACAUUUAGAGGAAGGUG
rnacentral:rRNA from 1 species